rnacentral:piRNA from 1 species
UGGGAACUCAGACCAUUUAGUGUGGGAUCU